GCAGUGGUAGUUUGGUGGUAGAAUUCCUGAUUUUUGUGUGGGAGACCCAGAUUCGAUUCCUAGCCAAUGCA
rnacentral:tRNA from 1 species